rnacentral:rRNA from 1 species
AUGGAGUUCCAGUUUCUGGUGCCUCCGCCACAGGAGUACGGGUUCGAGGCCGGUAUGGAUAUGCAGCAGAUGGUGAUGGCGGCGCUGCCUCCGUCUCAGGUGGUGGCCGCCGUGGUGGAUAUGCAGGAGAUGCCUCCGCCGCCGGGGUUGGCCGCCGGGAUGGAUAUGGAGCAGAUGCAGAUGACGAUGCCUAAGCCGCCGGGGUUCGACGCAGGGCUAGACAUGGAGAUAGACCAAUGGCUUAAUGUGAUGCUGCCGCCUCCGGAGAUCCCCGCCGGGAUGGAGACGGUGCAGCAGGGGCUCCAUCAACCGAACGCCGGCUUCCCGUACUGA